AGCCAUGCAUGUCUAAGUACAAGCCAAAUUAAGGUGAAACCGCGAAUGGCUCAUUAAAUCACACCUAAUAUACUGGAUAUUAUCAGUUACUUGGAUAACUGCGGUAAUUCUGGAGCUAAUACAUGCACUCAAGCCUCGAACUUUUCGGUGAGGGGCGCUUUUAUUAGAUCAAAACCAAACGCCUUCACGGGCGUCUUUUUGGUGACUCUGAAUAACCUUUUGCUGAUCGCAUGGCUUUACGCCGGCGACGUAUCCUUCUAAGGUGUGCCCUAUCAACUGUCGACUGUGGUAUAGACGACCACAGUGGUUUUGACGGGUAACGGGGAAUUAGGGUUCGAUUCCGGAGAGGGAGCCUGAGAAACGGCUACCACUUCUACGGAAGGCAGCAGGCACGCAAAUUACCCACUGGUCGAAGACCGAGGUAGUGACGAAAAAUAACGAUACCGGACUCAUCCGAGGCCCGGUAAUCGGAAUGAGUACACUUUAAAUCCUUUAACGAGGAACAAUUGGAGGGCAAGUCUGGUGCCAGCAGCCGCGGUAAUUCCAGCUCCAAUAGCGUAUAUUAAAGUUGUUGCGGUCAAAAAGCUCGUAGUUGGAUCUCGCAGGUUGGGGGUGGUUCAUUAUUUAAUGUUUACUGCUCCACAAACUUGUGUUUUUUGACAGAGGUUCCAAGGUGCUCUUAACCGAGUGUCGUGGGAUGCUGUCAGGUUUACUUUGAAAAAAUUAGAGUGCUCAAAGCAGGCUUUACAAGCUUGAAUAUUGGUGCAUGGAAUAAUAGAAUAGGAUGUUGUGUCCUUUUUGUUGGUUGAUGGAUAUUAACAUAAUGAUUAAUAGGGACAGUCGGGGGCAUUAGUAUUCAGACGACAGAGGUGAAAUUCUUGGACCGUUUGAAGACUAACUACUGCGAAAGCAUUUGCCAAGAAUGUUUUCAUUAAUCAAGAACGAAAGUUAGAGGUUCGAAGGCGAUCAGAUACCGCCCUAGUUCUAACCAUAAACGAUGCCAGCUAGCGAUCCGUUUGUGCUUCUUUUAAAGCCCUGCGGGAAGCUUCCGGGAAACCAAAGCUUUUGGGUUCCGGGGGAAGUAUGGUUGCAAAGCUGAAACUUAAAGGAAUUGACGGAAGGGCACCACCAGGAGUGGAGCCUGCGGCUUAAUUUGACUCAACACGGGAAAUCUCACCAGGCCCGGACACUGGAAGGAUUGACAGAUUGAGAGCUCUUUCUCGAUUCGGUGGGUGGUGGUGCAUGGCCGUUCUUAGUUGGUGGAGUGAUUUGUCUGGUUAAUUCCGAUAACGAACGAGACUCUGUCCUGCUAAAUAGUUUCAAUGUCUUUUUACAUUUUACAUUGGAAAUACUCUUCUUAGAGGGACUGGCGGCGUCUAGCCGCACGAGAUUGAGCAAUAACAGGUCUGUGAUGCCCUUAGAUGUUCUGGGCUGCACGCGCGCUACACUGAAGAGCUCAACGUGUUUUCCCUUCCUGAGAAGGACGGGCAACCCGCUGAACCCUCUUCGUGGUAGGGAUCGGGGCUUGCAAUUAUUCCCCGUGAACCAGGAAUUCCCAGUAAGCGCAAGUCAUAAGCUUGCGUUGAUUACGUCCCUGCCCUUUGUACACACCGCCCGUCGCUACUACCGAUUGAACGUUUUAGUGAGGUAUUUGGACUGGAUCUCCGGAAUGUUUUCAUUCUGGUGCCUUCCGGAAAGAUUCCCAAACUUGAGCG
rnacentral:rRNA from 1 species